GAUGAACGCUGGCGGCGUGCCUAAUACAUGCAAGUCGAGCGAACAGACGAGGAGCUUGCUCCUUCGACGUUAGCGGCGGACGGGUGAGUAACACGUAGGUAACCUACCUAUAAGACUGGGAUAACUUCGGGAAACCGGAGCUAAUACCGGAUAAUAUUUCGAACCGCAUGGUUCGAUAGUGAAAGAUGGCUUUGCUAUCACUUAUAGAUGGACCUGCGCCGUAUUAGCUAGUUGGUAAGGUAACGGCUUACCAAGGCAACGAUACGUAGCCGACCUGAGAGGGUGAACGGCCAGACUGGAACUGAGACACGGUCCAGACUCCUACGGGAGGCAGCAGUAGGGAAUCUUACGCAAUGGGCGAAAGCCUGACGGAGCAACGCCGCGUGAGUGAUGAAGGUCUUCGGAUCGUAAAACUCUGUUAUUAGGGAAGAACAAACGUGUAAGUAACUGUGCACGUCUUGACGGUACCUAAUCAGAAAGCCACGGCUAACUACGUG
rnacentral:rRNA from 1 species